AGGCAGGGCAAGAGACUGGUGGCUCUUGUGAGCAGAAGAGGCUUAGUGGAGAAAGAAGCCAUUGAGUUGAGCUCAGAAGGCUGCACAAUACUUGGAUAUGCGAGCAGUGAAGAUGAGAGAAGGGGUGGCAUUCUUGGCAAGAGGAAAUAUGCAGGCAGCCCCAACGGGACCGCUUUGCAUUCCUGCCAGCUUCUCCUAUAGCGUCGUGACCAAGGGCACAAGGAAGCUCUGGAGCCAGACUGCCUGGGUUCAGGGCCAUGACUAGCCGUGUGACCUUAGGUCCCGGUCGCCAGAGAUGCCCGAUCAUGUGCCAUCCCACAGCCAAGCGCCUGUGUCCAUCUGCUAGGGAGCCCGAGGCGAGAUGAUGGCCUUCUUCUCAAGUUCCACGCAGCCGAGGAGCAGUGCAGGGGGCCUGGUGGGCUCAGCAGCACCCCUGCAGGUGUGUGGUGGGCGUGAGGAGCAUUUCCAGGAGGUGGUGCUGAGCUGCAGGUCAGCAUGCUUUCUUGAAGGGGCCAGGCUGGGGCUGAGCCCUGGGGGACGCGGAGGUGGCUCAGAGCCGCUGCCACCAGCCAGAUGGCCCCUCCGGCGUCAGCCACUCUCCCCACUCUCCGCCUGUCCCAAACUCCGUGACUCAUCUGCUUGCUGAAUCCAUCCUCCUCAGAGCCGCUGGGUUCCAGGCCGACGGAUCUUUAUUUUCCGAAGGGGUCCUGAAUGAGUUAUUCUACUGAGCAAAACCAGUUCUUCACAGGCCGUUUCUCUUCAUUGGCUGCUGGUGCUCCCCCUGCUUGGCAAAAUUGUCUUUGCC
rnacentral:lncRNA from 1 species